GCCUACAAAGUGGUUCCACUUGUCGUCUCAGCUACUUGGGAGGCUGAGGCAGGAGGAUCGCUUGAGCCCAGGAGUUUGGGCUGUAGUUCUCUAUGGUGAUAGGGUGUCUGCACUAAGUUGAGCAUAAAUAUGGUGACUUCCUGGGAACAGGGAACAACUAGCUUGCCCAAGGAGGGUGAACCAGCUCAGGCUGGAAAUGAAGCAGGCCAAAACUCCUGUGCUGAUCAGUAGUGGGAUCAUGCCUGUGAUCCACUGCACUCCAGCCUGGGCAACACAGCAAGACCCGAUCUCU
ensembl:misc_RNA Metazoa_SRP Metazoan signal recognition particle RNA